GUGGGGAAUAUUGCACAAUGGGGGAAACCCUGAUGCAGCAACGCCGCGUGAGUGAAGAAGUAUUUCGGUAUGUAAAGCUCUAUCAGCAGGGAAGAAGAUGACGGUACCUGAGUAAGAAGCCCCGGCUAACUACGUGCCAGCAGCCGCGGUAAUACGUAGGGGGCAAGCGUUAUCCGGAUUUACUGGGUGUAAAGGGAGCGUAGACGGCGAUGCAAGUCUGAAGUGAAAGCCCGGGGCUCAACCCCGGGACUGCUUUGGAAACUGUAUAGCUAGAGUGCUGGAGAGGCAAGCGGAAUUCCUAGUGUAGCGGUGAAAUGCGUAGAUAUUAGGAAGAACACCAGUGGCGAAGGCGGCUUGCUGGACAGUAACUGACGUUGAGGCUCGAAAGCGUGGGGAGCAAACAGG
rnacentral:rRNA from 1 species